rnacentral:rRNA from 1 species
AACGAACGCUGGCGGCAUGCCUAACACAUGCAAGUCGAACGAGACCUUCGGGUCUAGUGGCGCACGGGUGCGUAACGCGUGGGAAUCUACCCUUGGGUUCGGAAUAACAGUUAGAAAUGACUGCUAAUACCGGAUGAUGACGUAAGUCCAAAGAUUUAUCGCCCAAGGAUGAGCCCGCGUAAGAUUAGCUUGUUGGUGGGGUAAUGGCCUACCAAGGCGACGAUCUUUAGCUGGUCUGAGAGGAUGAUCAGCCACACUGGGACGGAGACACGGCCCAGAGUCCUACGGGAGGCAGCAGUGGGGAAUAUUGGACAAUGGGCGAAAGCCUGAUCCAGCAAUGCCGCGUGAGUGAUGAAGGCCUUAGGGUUGUAAAGCUCUUUUACCAGGGAUGAUAAUGACAGUACCUGGAGAAUAAGCUCCGGCUAACUCCGUGCCAGCCGCCGCAGUAA